rnacentral:tmRNA from 1 species
GGGGCUGUUUUGGUUUUGACAUUUAAAAUUUUAGAGAAAUAUGAUGCAGGUCGAAGCUUGUAUCCUUCGAAAAAACAUACAAACAUCUAUAAUAAAUGCAAAUAAUAUAAUCCCUUUUACUUUAAAAGCGUUAAAAAAUUCUUUCAAAACUAAUCAACCAGCUUUAGCAAUUGCUUAAUUUUGAAACUUUGUACUAAAUUAUUUGAUUCCCUAUAACUAGACUUUUAUCUUUUUUAUAGUUUAGAAUACAUUAAUGUUUAUAUUCUGUUCAAUUUCUUGAACUAAGCCUGUGAAUGAGUAUUUUGAUAAUGUUUAAAUGGACGUGGGUUCGAUUCCCAUCAGCUCCA